UCCUACGGGAGGCAGCAGUGGGGAAUAUUGCACAAUGGGGGGAACCCUGAUGCAGCCAUGCCGCGUGUGUGAAGAAGGCCUUCGGGUUGUAAAGCACUUUCAGCGAGGAGGAAGGUAGUGUAGUUAAUACCUGCAUUAUUUGACGUUACUCGCAGAAGAAGCACCGGCUAACUCCGUGCCAGCAGCCGCGGUAAUACGGAGGGUGCGAGCGUAGUUCGGAAUUACUGGGCUUAAAGAGUUCGUAGGUGGUUAAAAAAGUUGAUGGUGAAAUCCCAAGGCUCAACCUUGGAACUGCCAUCAAAACUUUUUAGCUAGAGUAUGAUAGAGGAAAGCGGAAUUUCUAGUGUAGAGGUGAAAUUCGUAGAUAUUAGAAAGAACACCAAAAGCGAAGGCAGCUUUCUGGAUCAUUACUGACACUGAGGAACGAAAGCAUGGGUAGCGAAGAGGAUUAGAUACCCUCGUAGUCCAUGCCGUAAACGAUGUGUGCUAGACGUUGGAAACUUAGUUUUCAGUGUCGCAGCGAAAGCAUUAAGCACGCCGCCUGGGGAGUACGACCGCAAGGUUAAAACUCAAAUGAAUUGACGG
rnacentral:rRNA from 1 species